CCUACGGGAGGCAGCAGUGGGGAAUUUUGGACAAUGGGCGAAAGCCUGAUCCAGCAAUGCCGCGUGCAGGAAGAAGGCCUUCGGGUUGUAAACUGCUUUUGUACGGAACGAAACGGUUCGCUUUAAUACAGUGGGCUAAUGACGGUACCGUAAGAAUAAGCACCGGCUAACUACGUGCCAGCAGCCGCGGUAAUACGUAGGGUGCGAGCGUUAAUCGGAAUUACUGGGCGUAAAGCGUGCGCAGGCGGUUAUAUAAGACAGUUGUGAAAUCCCCGGGCUCAACCUGGGAAUUGCAUCUGUGACUGUAUAGCUAGAGUACGGUAGAGGGGGAUGGAAUUCCGCGUGUAGCAGUGAAAUGCGUAGAUAUGCGGAGGAACACCGAUGGCGAAGGCAAUCCCCUGGACCUGUACUGACGCUCAUGCACGAAAGCGUGGGGAGCAAACAGGAUUAGAUACCCUGGUAGUCCACGCCCUAAACGAUGUCAACUGGUUGUUGGGUGCAUUAGUACUCAGUAACGAAGCUAACGCGUGAGUUGACCGCCUGGGGAGUACGGCCGCAAGGUUGAAACGUUAAAUGAAUUGACGG
rnacentral:rRNA from 1 species